UCAAAUUCCAAGCUCUAUUACUUUAGGCAUGCUUCAGGCUCACAAGUUGGCCAUCACGUUUGACGAGCCUUGACAUGGCCAACGAGAAAAGGAAGAAAAACUUGGGGCGGUGGUGAGAUAGGAAAAGAAACCAGAACCAGAAUGGGCCUCAAUUUUCUACGUGCACACCAUAAAGUUGAUGUGUAAUUUGCUUUUAUAUGCAUUCAACAGAACUUGCCAAAUUCUAUUACAAGUUUACAAUUGUGUUACUACGGCGGAGAGCUUUCCGACUCGUCUUCACCUUAAUAAACCAUAACUAAUGGGGUCGCACAAGCAGAAGUAUCCGUUUGUGAGUGUGUGUGUGUGGAAAAUGUUGCAAAAUACUUGAAGCAGUCGCCUUUAAAGCGUCAAAAGCAGCUUAGCAGCUUUCAAUUUCGCACAAUAACAACGGUAGGAAAAUUGAGUGAAGGACCGGCCCCUCGGAGAGGAAAAAAGCAAACAAGUAAAUGAAAUUUCCGUUUUGAGCUCUUCCUACUCAGCUUCCUUCUCGAUCGUUUAGUGUAUCAAUAACUGAAUAACAGGCUAAAGAGACUGUGCCCUGCGUUUGUUUGGCUGCUUUGUUUGCUGUUUGCUUCUGCAAUUUGAUGUGCCGGAAAUAUGCUUCAGCUUUAUGGGCUUCUGCGCAUCUGAAAGCCAGUCCUCCUCUCACAGACAUUGCUGGCCAAAAAGUUGGCUCAAAUUACUGCGUCUAGCCGCACUGAGAGUAACAUCCCAGCUCCUCAGUGAAGAUAAUAUCUUUUGAUUAGUGGCAACCGCAAAAACUUUAAUUAAAUUCGCACACAAUUCUCUGCUGGAAAGUUUAUGCAGCAUUUGUGCCAUGUCACCAGAUAAGUUUCCACCGCCUGGACACACGCAUGUGGACCGGGGAGUUUUAGCUUUUGUUUUUCCCGUCCAGACCUGCGCUUUAAGUUUUACAAUUCGAAAAUAACCGAAUGGAGAAAAGUUUUCCACAAAGUUAUGCGGCGGGAGGCAAGUCUAAUGAAUUAAUUAGUAGAAUUCAGAUGAAGUCAGAAAGCGUCCGCCAAACCAGAAACCACUCGAAGUCGUAAUUCAUUGAAAAUUCGUCGAUUAAUUUAUUUUGUUUACUUGAUUCCGUUCGGUCACAGUUGAUUUAAUUUGACUUUUCGUCUGAAAAUCCUGAAUUGUAUGGUCACUUCAAGCAGUUAUUACUCCGAUAAUUUCGUUCAAUUACUGGCGUGCAUAUGUAGCCCGUUUUAAGUUCCACAGGGGUUGUAGAUAGGUAAAAAAUGCCUUGUUAUAUUUUAUACAUUUUAUUUAUUUUGCUCUGGUAACUUUAAAGACACACGAGUAUAUACUCUCUCAUAUUCCUAUGCCAUAAAUUUAAACCAAGGCGGAUCCAGGACAAAGGCAACGGCAGCCAGCGACUCGCAACACACUCCCCAGGAAUAACUCAUAUCGAAUUGCACCAUUUGUUGUUUUGUCUCCCGAGAGGAUAUUGAGUUACGCUGCCUGGGAUGGGGAUGGCAUUGGGGCUUGGAGGGCUGUGGCUCGUUGGCUCCCGUUGCCCGAUGCCGAUGGAUUGGCGCUUGGUGGCAUUUUUAUUCAGUUUAGUGUUUUGUUGCUUCGUUUGACGCUUUCGAUUUUGAUAGAUUUAUCACAGCUUACAAAAAUAAGGCACAAGUAAAACAAUAUGAA
rnacentral:sRNA from 1 species